UCUGAGCCGCGAGGGCGCCGACAGCCGGGGGCCCGGACGCAACCCGGCUCCUCCCCUCCUCCACCCCCCCGGCCUGACCCGGCCCGCCGCCGCCGCGGUGACCCCCUCCCCGUCCCCUCCCCGGCCGCCGCCACCACCGCUGCCGCCUCCUCGGCCGACCAGGGACCUGCCCGCCCGCGGCUGCUCUGGCAGGCUUGCCUAGACAAUACCUUCUUACUUUCCUACCAAGUUCAAGAAGGAAGAAGAAUUAAAAGCAAGAUUGGGAAGACAGAAGAAAAGAUUGCUCAGGCUGGGAAAGGGCAAAGUGACCUAGAGGAUCAAGACAUAAUGGGAGCAUUUUUAGACAAGCCAAAGAUGGAAAAGCAUAAUGCCCAGGGGCAGGGUAAUGGGUUGCGAUAUGGGCUAAGCAGCAUGCAAGGUUGGCGCGUUGAAAUGGAGGAUGCACAUACGGCUGUGAUUGGUUUACCAAGUGGACUUGAAACAUGGUCAUUCUUUGCUGUGUAUGAUGGGCAUGCUGGUUCUCAGGUUGCCAAAUACUGCUGUGAGCAUUUGUUAGAUCACAUCACCAGUAACCAGGAUUUUAAAGGGUCUGCAGGAGCACCUUCUGUGGAAAAUGUAAAGAAUGGAAUCAGAACAGGUUUUCUGGAGAUUGAUGAACACAUGAGAGUUAUGUCAGAGAAGAAACAUGGUGCAGAUAGAAGUGGGUCAACAGCUGUGGGUGUCUUAAUUUCUCCCCAACAUACUUAUUUCAUUAACUGUGGAGACUCAAGAGGUUUACUUUGUAGGAACAGGAAAGUUCACUUCUUCACACAAGACCACAAACCAAGCAAUCCGCUGGAAAAAGAACGAAUUCAGAAUGCAGGUGGCUCUGUAAUGAUUCAACGUGUGAAUGGCUCUCUGGCUGUAUCGAGGGCCCUUGGGGAUUUUGAUUACAAAUGUGUCCAUGGGAAAGGUCCUACAGAGCAGCUUGUCUCACCAGAGCCUGAAGUCCAUGAUAUUGAAAGAUCUGAAGAAGAUGAUCAGUUCAUUAUCCUUGCAUGUGAUGGUAUCUGGGAUGUUAUGGGAAAUGAAGAGCUCUGUGAUUUUGUAAGAUCCAGACUUGAAGUCACUGAUGACCUUGAGAAAGUUUGCAAUGAAGUAGUCGACACCUGUUUGUAUAAGGGAAGUCGAGACAACAUGAGUGUGAUUUUGAUCUGUUUUCCAAAUGCACCCAAAGUAUCUCCAGAAGCAGUGAAGAAGGAGGCAGAGUUGGACAAGUACCUGGAAUGCAGAGUAGAAGAAAUCAUAAAGAAGCAGGGGGAAGGCGUUCCUGACUUAGUCCAUGUGAUGCGCACAUUAGCGAGUGAGAACAUCCCCAGCCUCCCGCCAGGGGGUGAAUUGGCAAGCAAGCGGAAUGUAAUUGAAGCCGUUUACAAUAGACUGAAUCCUUACAAAAAUGAUGACACUAGCUGUUCACUGCACCCAUUCUCUUACACACACCCCUGAUUGAUUGCUCUGAAUUCUGCUUGCUCUGAUCUCUGCCUGCACCACAGUUCUAGUGAUUGAGGACAUAAUCAUGGACUCUACAUCAACUGAUGAUAUGUGGUAAAACUGCUCAUCUAGCCAUGGAGUUUACCUUCACCUCCAAAGGAGAGUACAGCUCAACUUUGUUGAACCUUGUAACAUCCAUUUUCAACUGUAAGGAAGGGGAUAUGACAUGGGUGAGAAUGAUUACACCAGAGAACUUCAGCAGUACAACAGCUAGCCCAGAACUGAAUCUUUUUUUUUUUUUUGUAAAUUGAGAUUUAUGUAAGCGUGAUUUGAAACCAUAAUUCAUGUUGUAAAUCAGACUCCAGCAAUUUUUGUUGUAUGAUUUUGUUUUUUUGUAAAGUGUAAUUGUCCUUGUACAAAAUGCUCAUAUUUAAUUAUGAACUGCUUUAAAUCACUAUCAAAGUUACAAGAAAUGUUUGGCUUGUGUGAUGCAACAGAUCUACAGCCCUUUCAAGUCACAUUGUGUUUGGACUUGGGGUUGCGACAGGGAGAGCAGCAGCCACAUCAGCUAAACUUUGAAACAUGUAAAUGACUAUGGAGAAUAAUUUCAAAAUCUUACAAAGCUGAACAUCGGAGGACUUAACGGAAAACUAUCUUAAUGUACUUGGCAGGGGGUUGGCAUUAUUGAUAAAGCUGGUUGGUCCCUUCAUUUAAUUUUCAGGAUGUUCUCUCCUUGUUGCCAUGAGUAUUGUAGGUAAUACAGUAUAUUCAUAAGAAUAUCAGUCUUGGGGCUAAAAUGCCUUUAUUCUUUGCACCUCUUUUACAAGUCCUUACAUUUAAUUACUAAUUGAUAAGCAGCAGCUUCCUACAUAUAGUAGGAGACUGCCACAUUUUUGCUAUCAUGAUUGGCUGGGCCUGCUGCUGUUCCUAGUAAGAUAUUCUGAAUUCCAUUUUAUCAAUAAAGCUUGAUUUAACAAACAAGAAAUGUAAUCAUGUAUGUGUAAUUCCUCUUUUUCCCCGGCCUUUUAAAACACCAUGCCAUUGUUAAUGAGAUGUUUCUCAUAGGGAAAGAUGUUAGUCUCUUAAUUGGACAAUACUAUUUGUUACUCAAGGCAUAGAUGGAACUGUUUCCCUUCCAUUCGAAAGACUAAAAGAUUUAAGUCACUGUCAUUCCUUAAUCUAUUUUUUUAAGUAGGUUUCUUUUGGGCUGCUUAUUUUUCAUUAAGAUGUGCAUCAGCUUGAAUUUGCCUACUGUUUAAAAUAAUUGUCAAAAGUUUGACAAUCUAACACUCUAUGGUAGGUGUAUGUGUGUUUGUGAGUAUGUGUUUGCCUGUGAUUUUUAAUUGGCCCAUGUCUUUAGAAUCCAAGUGGUUAAGAUGUAUUUGUGAUUUGAAAUAUAGCAUGUCGAUAAUAUUUAGCUGUUGGUCUUUAAAAAUAACUUUCAAAGCUUAAGGAAUUGUAGAUAUAAAAAUAAUCUAAUUUAAUUUAGGCUUAAAAUCCUCUGAUUAAGCAUGUGAAAGUAAGUUUUAAAAUCUGUCACAUUGAAAAGACUACUGUUCUGUGCCCUUCUGUGUUUUUGUCUCUCUAGGUUGAAUAUUGUAUUUUUACCAUGUAAUUUAAUCAUUCAGUAGGCAGAUUCCCCACUAGAAAACUAUUAAAAUGUAAGAUUAAAAUGCAGCAUUGAAUACAAAAUCAAACUUUGUAUAUAAGAGCUAGUAUGCUCCAUUUUGUUGUAUUUGUUUUUUCCUUAAAUUGGAAAUACACAUAUUUGUAUAUAUAGCCUUAAAACUAAUGUAAAGUUAGGGAAGUAGUGGGAAAAGUAAUGUGAAAUGUCUCAGAUUUAAGUAGUUAACAUACCAGCAAAAUCUCUUCAUUAUCCCUCUUAUUUGUGAGGUGAUUAAAUGUAACUUAAUUGUAUUUAAUUUAUAUCUUAAUCAGCAUGAACGAAGACAAACUGAAGUACUAUUUAUAUUUAGAAAUUUACAACAGUUGGAAUUACAGAACCGAUUCCAAACCUAACUUACAAUAAAUGCUUAAUGUUUAAAUCUGUGGUAAAGUGCGAAGUAUGAUAAUGUUCUAAGUUAUGGCUUUGCAGGCAUCUAAAUGUGCGUUUAAUGAAAACCAGUGCUUCUAGUGUAGAUUGAUGACCAGACAUACUAGCACUGAAGGUUAGAUCCCUAUUACAGCAAGUCAGUUCUUCAAUUUUUUUCAGUAGACUGAAGUUUUUAGUUAUAGAAAUUUCAAAACCUUGAACUGGACUGUGGAAUCUUUUGAGAUGGAAAACUUAAAUCACAAGUAAAUAUGUGAUAAAAAGCUAUAUUUCAAACGCAAACAGCAUAUUUAGAGCCUUUUUGUAUUUGAGAGUCUCUAAAUAAAAAAGAGGAAAUUAAAAUAUUCCUCUGUUAAAAAUUAUUAGUACUGAAAUUAGGCUUGGAAGUAAGAGAAAGCUAUAUGUAAGUGUGAGCUAAGAAGACUAAAUCUUUUCCACAUGAGUCAGCACUGCCAAACUAGUAUUAAUUUUUCAUUAUAAAAAUACAGGAAGGAAGUAUACGUUAUAACAGCAGACUGUGCGUUACUGAUGCCUGGGGGUAAUGGUGGUGGUGGGGAACCAACCACACUUUUAAAAAGGCACUUUUGCACCUCUGUUGUGCACUUCAUUUUUGUACCACUGAAAUUCUCGGCUCCCCUACUCCCUUUUUUUGUGUUAAUUAGCAUCUCAGGGCAAUGCUUCAAAUCUUUUGAUGUGUUCUGUGUUUUUUUCUUUGGAAGGAAAAAGUUUUGUGUGAUGAUAAUAUAGUAUUCAAAAUAUACUUUCAUUUAAAUGUAUUAUUAGGAUGAACCCAAUUUGCUGCUUUUAAUAGGAAAUUCAGUUUUGUAUAGCAGGCUCUUGUUACCCUAACAUUAAAAAAGCUUACUGA